rnacentral:rRNA from 1 species
ACAGCAGCAGCCGCGGUAAUACGUAGGGUGCAAGCGUUAAUCGGAAUUACUGGGCGUAAAGCGUGCGCAGGCGGCUAUAUAAGUCAGAUGUGAAAUCCCCGGGCUCAACCUGGGAACUGCAUUUGAGACUGUAUGGCUAGAGUGUGUCAGAGGGGGGUAGAAUUCCACGUGUAGCAGUGAAAUGCGUAGAUAUGUGGAGGAAUACCGAUGGCGAAGGCGGCCCCCUGGGAUAACACUGACGCUCAUGCACGAAAGCGUGGGGAGCAAACAGGAUUAGAUACCCCGGUAGUCCCUGUCUCUUAUAC